CUAGCCCAGGUGCUCUCGGCCCGUGGGGUGUUUCAGCGGGCUGCGCGGCUCCGCCAGGCCAGGGAAGCGCGGCGCAGCUUGUCAGGAACUUCUUCCAUGGGUGUGAUCCAUGCCAGCAGUUAGCACCCUAAAGUUAGCUGGCAGACAACUGUAAGAAAUACCUGUCCAAGCACUGGAUGACUCUGCUGUAACUUAUUGCCAGAGGAGAUUAAAGCAGGAUCCUUUUUGAAGCUGAACAUUCGUGAAAGCAUCCAGUCCCAGAGGUGGAUUGUUCCAAACCCAUUUGGAGCCAAGUGUGUACGAUAUGGAGUCCGUCGUGACACCGCUUUAUAGAGAGCAGACAAUGAGUUUUGGAUCUUCCCGCAAAGCAACUGCAAUGCCACGUGUCAGAACUGAGAAGGAGGACUCUGUCUUCUGUCCCCGGUGCUUGCUCCCUUACGCCAAGGAAGAAAAGCUGCCUGCUGCUUUACUGGCACGAGGCAUAAUGAAGGCAGCCCCCACAAGGGGCCUGGGAGGAAUAGGAGUCAGAGAAGAGUCGGAAAAAACCUCGAGAUUCUAUAAAAUUGAAGUCUGCUUGUUACUUGAGUUUUCUGGAUUAAACAGUUGCAAAUUAGAAGUUGCAUGAAGACUUCAUCACUGUCCGAUUGUGUGCCUUGGACACUGUAGACGACUACCAUUUUCUUUUGUUUGCACUGGCAGAAAGAGGUUAGAUUUGUAGAAAAGGUGAAAAUUUUAAUUUCAAGCUUAAACUAAAUUUUUUCAUAAGACCUACAUGGGUGCAUCAGUCAAUUCAGCAGCAGCUCAGCACUGUGAGCUUCAAUGUACAAAAAGGGCUUAGGUCUUAGAAAUCUUCCUUAAGGACACGUGAAGCACAGGACCAGGAGGCAGUCGGAGGCAUGUGCACAGAGGAGCAGCUUCUGCUCCCAGUUUGCUCUUUGCUUGUGCAAACCCCUUUCUGCGCAGCAGCAAGUGCAUGUCAACUGCUGCUCCUCCUGAACUCGAGGGUGAGUGGGGGAUUUCCGUGUUGGCUUCAAAUCGGCUUGUUGUGGAGCAGCAACAAGAGCUUUUGUGUCUGCAACUUAACGCUGUAUAAACAUAUGCUGUUUGAAAACGUAUGUUAGGUUUUAUUCAAAUAAAGGAAGCUGUUUUGCCAGUAGUUUUCAAGCAACACAUUACCUACGAGGAGAGAGAAAUUUAAAAAACUCACUGAUUUACCAUGUUAAAAAAAGAUGGCACAUUUAUUGCUACAUAAAUGUUAUAUACAUAGUGUUUUCUGUUACAUUGACAGAAAUUUUUUUGAACUUCUUGCUGCUGGUUGGAAAGGUUUAUCAGCAAUACCUUGAAAUUUGACACAGGGUACAAAUCUGCAAUAAACCAACAAUGGAAACUGGAGAACAAGAUGAGAAGCAAUUCAUCUCGGACAAUUAGCUCUUACAAUACUCCAUAGGUACUACACGGUAUGCUAGAACCCUACUAUGGUCUUACAAUGCUAUUGUAAAUUUCUGAUAUUAAUGAACAGGUUAUGGUAAAUAACCCUACAUUUUUACUACCUAAUAUAGUAAAAUAAAGUAAGAAACUUUUUACUGAAAACUUUUUCGAUUUCAAAAAUCUAGAAAGAGUAAUAUUUAGAAUUCAAGAAAUUUUCUUACAAGAUUAUUGUAUAAAAGACUAGCUACAGUGAAAAAUAAGCCAAAUGUUUUUUCUUUCUAUUUUAUGAAGGAAAGCUUCUGGGCAUACUGCAAAGUCUAAUAUAGCCAAAAAGACAACAAGCUUAGAAGGAAAAAAGGCCAGGCAGUGGCACGUGAUCACUUUCACACGUCAUAAGCAACAAAUUUGUUUAGCUGAUAAACACUGAAAUGAAGAACAAGGCCACAGAUAUAAUCAGAUGUUAUUUGAUGGUAUAUGCAAAUUAAAGUAAUAGAAAUAAGUCCCCUAAUUUCACAAACUGGUUUGUUAGGAACCAUCCAAAACAUGAGCUUAAAUUCAUUAGUUUAUUUUAACAAUCCAUCUUUUGUUCUUUCAAAUUAAAUGACUUCAUAAAAAUUAUUGUUUUGUUCCGCGUGUGUGUGUGUGUGUGUGUGUGCGCGCGCUUGCGCGAACCAAUUGCCAGUGAUGAAAGAUGCAAUAUAUAAACAAUAGCUCCGACAACCUUGGCUUAGUACAUUUCCUCCCAUGGUCAUUGCAGUGGAAGACAGUUUCCAUGGAAGUUCAAAGGGAUUUUAACCAUUUCAACACAUUUGUGACAAAGGAAUACCUAUGGACACUGUUCUGGUGGAGAAACAUUUAAUGGUUUAAUGCUAAUAUGGCUUGGGAGGGGGUCGUUUGUUUGCAUUUGAUUCACACUGAUUUUUUUUCUCCACUGACAAGCCAUACAAAAUGACAAGAUAAUUAAUGUAUACAGUAAGGAAAGAUUGGUGACCAUUGCUCUUAUAUUCCAUUAUGUAUGCAGUCCACCUUACUGGUGGUUAUAUCAUCACACUACCUGCCAUGGUGAAUUUAGGAUUUUACUAUUCACCAAAAUUACAGCCUGAAAAAAAUCUCCUUUGUACUUUAAUGCAUUUUGUGCUUACGUACAGCUAACACUUUACAUGUACUAUAUGUAGUACUUACUGCUCGGAAAACAAAGCAACUCUAACAAAGUAGAUUCUCCCCACCCAAUUUACACUUCACAUUACAAGCUUUACUAUGAAGCCUAGAAGCCUAAAAAGGUUUUGUUUAUAAUUAGAAAAAAAAAUGUUUGAGGAAAGUCUGAGGGAAAAUAAAAAUCACUUUUUAAAUCCAAGAAAUGUUAUGGUCACAGUAUUGCUCCUGCCUGCAGCCUUCACUAUGCCUCCUACUGGCUUGAAGCACGGAGCUCAGCAUGGAAGGGUAACUAUGACCAUAACUGUUCAGAUUACCAGAGACCAAAAAUAACAUUAAAAAAAAAAAAA